rnacentral:misc_RNA from 1 species
UAAUAAGUGUUUAUGGCACUUCUUAAAUCCAUAUCCACCUUGUGUGCAAUGUCAGCCGUUUUCUUUAUGAAAGCGGCCAAACGUCAACUUAUUUUUUAACUGUUGUCUGAAAACUAUUAUGAAUAAACUAAUUCAAAUA